rnacentral:rRNA from 1 species
UACGUAGGGGGCAAGCGUUGUCCGGAAUUAUUGGGCGUAAAGAGCUCGUAGGCGGUCUGUUGCGUCCGCUGUGAAAACUCGGGGCUUAACCCCGAGCCUGCAGUGGAUACGGGCAGACUAGAGGUAGGUAGGGGAGAAUGGAAUUCCCGGUGUAGCGGUGAAAUGCGCAGAUAUCGGGAGGAACACCGGUGGCGAAGGCGGUUCUCUGGGCCUUACCUGACGCUGAGGCGCGAAAGCGUGGGUAGCAAACGGG